rnacentral:lncRNA from 1 species
CUCUAUCGCAAGAAUGACGUUCUGUUCUCCCAACAGGGCAAAUGAGUUGGGGUAGUGUUUGCAUCAUUUCUGGCUGUUUGGUUCGCUUGCUUUACGGUAAUCCGAAAAAGGUUGCUUGGUGACGUGGGGAGCGUGCCGCCUCUGCCGUAGCAUUACGCGCCUAGAAAAAAAGGAUGCCCAUUCCCUUGAUGCGGACCAGCUGUGAUUUGUUGCUGGGGUAUUAGAAAAGCCCUGCCUUUACACAGGAUGCAGUACCGUCUUGUUGCGGGGGACAGAAAGUGUCCGCCGUGUGUUCUCAUUAUUCCUGGCCUUCGUUUGCAUCGGCAUGUGGUUUCAUAAGACCACUGGCGGAACAUUAGGAGUUGUAAAUUUAGAUCCCUGUAUCGCAAAUGCUCUGUGUCGUCAACUAAAUAUCGAAUAGUGACACGUUUUCAGCAGAAAAAAGGCAAAUUACAGUAGUCAAGUAAAAUCGGCUUUGAUAUAGCUUGAAAGGAACGAAGAUCAUUCGCUGAUGGCAAGCGCGUGACACAAAUCACACGCCACGCUUUUUUAAGCAGAAGCAGAAGUAAAACGGUUGAAGCUCUGUCUUCUUUGGCAUCUUCGUAUGCCAGGCUCCCGUGUAGUGAAGAGCAAGGAAUACCCCAUCGUCGGCACAUUAAUGUACCAGGAAAAUUCUGGUUUGUGUGCUGUUGGCAAGGUCGCCUUCCGAACCGGCACCCCGGACAAGCUGCAUUCUGGAUGGAAACUUGAGAGGCUACCGCGAAUUCCAGCUCUCCACGUUUGCAAUACUUUCGGUGCCAGACACAGCCGUCGCCACAAACUUUUUUUCGGGGGCCUCUUCUGCCCCUAGAUUUACCAACAGCACCUCGAAAGGAUGAAAAUUCAGACAGUGGAAGCAGACUUCGAUGGCGUCGACUGCGUCAAAGCUUCAAGGCAUGUUUCUGAACGUGCUCAGAAGCGACCACGGCCAUGGGAAUGCCGCACGGGGGCGCUCUUUCCCUCAGGAGUUGGUGCUGUCCCGACAACGUUUCCUGCUGGAC